AUUGAACGCUGGCGGCAUGCCUUACACAUGCAAGUCGAACGGUAACGGGCCUUCGGGUGCCGACGAGUGGCGAACGGGUGAGUAAUGCAUCGGAACGUACCUUUCAGUGGGGGAUAACGUAGCGAAAGUUACGCUAAUACCGCAUAUUCUGUGAGCAGGAAAGCAGGGGAUCGCAAGACCUUGCGCUGAUUGAGCGGCCGAUGUCAGAUUAGCUAGUUGGUGAGGUAAAGGCUCACCAAGGCGACGAUCUGUAGCGGGUCUGAGAGGAUGAUCCGCCACACUGGAACUGAGACACGGUCCAGACUCCUACGGGAGGCAGCAGUGGGGAAUUUUGGGACAAUGGGGGCAACCCUGAUCCAGCCAUGCCGCGUGAGUGAAGAAGGCCUCGGUUGUAAGCUCUU
rnacentral:rRNA from 1 species